rnacentral:rRNA from 1 species
UACGGGGGGAGCAAGCGUUGUUCGGAUUUACUGGGCGUAAAGGGCGCGUAGGCGGCCUGUUAAGUCGAACGUGAAAUCCCCGGGCUCAACCCGGGAACUGCGUCCGAUACUGGCAGGCUUGAAUUCGGGAGAGGGAUGUGGAAUUCCAGGUGUAGCGGUGAAAUGCGUAGAUAUCUGGAGGAACACCGGUGGCGAAGGCGGCAUCCUGGACCGAUAUUGACGCUGAUGCGCGAAAGC